CGGGGUGCAGCAGGCGCGAAAACUUUGCAAUGCGGGAAACCGUGACAAGGGAACUCUGAGUGCCCGUUAAAUCGGGCUGUCCAUCGGUUUAAAUAACCGGUGAAGAAAGGGCCGGGCAAGACCGGUGCCAGCCGCCGCGGUAAUACCGGCGGCUCGAGUGGUGGCCACUAUUACUGGGCUUAAAGCGUUCGUAGCUGGUUUGUUAAGUCUCUGGGGAAAUCUUCCGGCUUAACCGGAAGGCGUCUCAGGGAUACUGGCAGACUAGGGACCGGGAGAGGCGAGAGGUACUCCAGGGGUAGGAGUGAAAUCCUGUAAUCCUUGGGGGACCACCUGUGGCGAAGGCGUCUCACCAGAACGGCUCCGACAGUGAGGGACGAAAGCUGGGGGAGCAAACCGGAUUAGAUACCCGGGUAGUCCCAGCUGUAAACGAUGCGCGUUAGGUGUAUCGGUGACCACGAGUCACCGAGGUGCCGAAGAGAAAUCGUGAAACGUGCCGCCUGGGAAGUACGGUCGCAAGGCUGAAACUUAAAGGAAU
rnacentral:rRNA from 1 species